GACGAACGCUGGCGGCGUGCUUAACACAUGCAAGUCGAACGGAAAGGCCCUGCUUUUGUGGGGUGCUCGAGUGGCGAACGGGUGAGUAACACGUGAGUAACCUGCCCUUGACUUUGGGAUAACUUCAGGAAACUGGGGCUAAUACCGGAUAGGAGCUCCUGCUGCAUGGUGGGGGUUGGAAAGUUUCGGCGGUUGGGGAUGGACUCGCGGCUUAUCAGCUUGUUGGUGGGGUAGUGGCUUACCAAGGCUUUGACGGGUAGCCGGCCUGAGAGGGUGACCGGCCACAUUGGGACUGAGAUACGGCCCAGACUCCUACGGGAGGCAACGGUGGGGAAUAUUGCACAAUGGGCGGAAGCCUGAUGCAGCAACGCCGCGUGCGGGAUGACGGCCUUCGGGUUGUAAACCGCUUUCGCCUGUGACGAAGCGUGAGUGACGGUAAUGGGUAAAGAAGCACCGGCUAACUACGUG
rnacentral:rRNA from 1 species